rnacentral:lncRNA from 1 species
UAAAUACAAACAUGCACGCAUGUACACGUACAUACACAUAUCUUGGAUGUUAGCUUUAAUUAAGCUGACUUUUAACCAAUGAACUCCUAAAAAAAUAAAAUUCCUUCCUAGAGGCCUCUCAGCAGGAAUGUACCCUAUAACUCCCAUUUUCAAGUUUACAUGGUAUCAAAAGAUUAUUCCUUUUGAUAUUGGUCUAAAUUAUUCCUUACACAAACAAGUGGAGACAAAUUUUGAACAACACAAGGGGGAGUGCACUCAGGCAAAACAGACUCAGAACCAACUCAAAACCUGAUCUCAAUCAAAAUGCAAAGCAGAUAUAUGAGAGAGCCUUAUUGCUUCCCUUGGCGGUAUCAGACAAAUGGCUUACCAAGCCCAGAUAGGAAACAGUAGGCUCCUAGCAUAGAAUCUGGUUAACUCACCCUUUGAGCGCAUCUGCUCCUGAUCUCUGUUUCUCCUCAGUAGUGAAAAGGACAUGCAGAUUUGCGCACAACAGCCCUCUGGAGGGUCCCGGGGGAAACCUCACCCAGCAGCUUCUGGGAUCCUCCUGAAGACUGUCUCAUAGCAAGUUGCCAGCCGCUGAAUGCAGCACUGUCCUUAAUUCCUGGCUUGUGUGCCAAAUUUUUAUCCCGGAUCAAACUGAGGGUCAGGCUGCUAUUUCUCGCGGCACAAUAACAAGAUGCAGAUGAACUGGGGAGGAAGAGAGUUUUUAUUUCUGUAACCGGUUAUAGGGAGAAGACCUGGAAAUUAUCACCAGACCAACUCAAAAUUACAGUUUUCCAAAGCUUAUAUACCUUCUAAGCUAUUCAUCUACAUACAAAGAAACAGUACAAGAAGGAAUCUCAGAACAUCAAGAAGGAAGAAAGAACACAGUAAACAAAAAUAUGGGCUGGAGUGCAAUGAAUGGUGCAAUCUCAGCUCACCACAACCUCCACCUCCUAGGUUCAAGCGAUUCUCCUGCCUCAGCCUCUCAAGUAACUGGGAUUACAGAUGUGGAAUCUAAAACCUUGCUGAGAAACUGCCUCCAAUGUUGCUCCCUUAACUUUCACUGUGGAAAACUCUGAAGGAAGUUGGCCGCACCAUUUAAUGGAAGCAUGAGGAACUAGUCUCUUUCCUUUAGAUAUGUAUGAAAAUGGCUCCACUGUGACUCAGCAGAUGGCUCCACUGUGACUCAGCAGAUCUCCAGGAUUUUCCUGUGUAGUUUCUGUUUUGGCUUUCAUCUGGUGGGAACUGACUGCUACAGGACCGAGGCUUUUAAAUCAAACCCAAAUAACAAAAUGUAUUUAGAGCUGAAAAAGGUGGUGCCAUCAGGCUGGGGUGGGGAUGAGGAAGUGAUUCAUUACCCCAGUUGGAAUGUAAAUUCAAUGAGUUUAAUUACUAGUGGUGUCAAAAAAGGAUUUUCACUGAUAGC